GACGAACGCUGGCGGCGUGCUUAACACAUGCAAGUCGAACGGAAAGGCCCUGCUUUUGUGGGGUGCUCGAGUGGCGAACGGGUGAGUAACACGUGAGUAACCUGCCCUUGACUUUGGGAUAACUUCAGGAAACUGGGGCUAAUACCGGAUAGGAGCUCCUGCUGCAUGGUGGGGGUUGGAAAGUUUCGGCGGUUGGGUGUGGACUCGCGGCUUAUCAGCUUGUUGGUGGGGUAGUGGCUUACCAAGGCUUUGACGGGUAGCCGGCCUGAGAGGGUGACCGGCCACAUUGGGACUGAGAUACGGCCCAGACUCCUACGGGAGGCAGCAGUGGGGAAUAUUGCACAAUGGGCGGAAGCCUGAUGCAGCAACGCCGCGUGCGGGAUGACGGCCUUCGGGUUGUAAACCGCUUUCGCCUGUGACGAAGCGUGAGUGACGGUAAUGGGUAAAGAAGCACCGGCUAACUACGUG
rnacentral:rRNA from 1 species